rnacentral:lncRNA from 1 species
AGGGCAUCCUCCCUCUCCCCCACUUGACACAAAAGGGCACCUUCCCCUUCCUGUUACAAAAGGGUGCCUUCCACCUCCUCCUGGUACAAAAGGGCACUUUCCACAUUCAACUAAAACAACCGCAACCACACCCACUACUACUGUUACAAAAUCCACUACCAUCUCAGAACCCACCACCACAACAGCAACCAUCACUUCUACAGAGCCCACCACUAUAGCAUUCACCAUUUCCUCUGAACCGACCAACACAACUAUAACCACUUCCACAGAACCCACCACCAUAGUAACAACAAUCACUGAUACAGAAUCUGCCUCCACAGCAACUAUCCCUUCUACUGAAUCUAUUACCAUAACACCAACCAUAACCACUACCACUGAAUCCUACAUCACCUCUACAGAAUCUGUGACAGAAACAAUCACUGCAUCCACAGAGCCCACCAUAAUAGAAACCACCACUCUUUCCACAGGGUCUGCAAGCACAGCAACCACCACUACUUCCACAGAAUUCUCCACGGCAACCUUCAUUACUUAUACAGAGCCCAUCACAAUAGAAACUACCACCACUGCCUCAAAAUUCACCAAUAAAACAGCAACCAUCCCUACCACUGAGCCCAACAGAGCAACCGCCAUCACUUCAAAUGAAUCUGCCACCAUAACAGCAAGCAUCACGACUUCCACAGAACCCAAUAUCACUUCCACAGAAUCCUCCACCACAGCAACCAUCAUCACUACUACAGAACCUACCACAAUAGUAGCCAAUACUGUUUCCAUUGAACCCACCACCGCAGCAACCACUUCAGCUGAACCUAUAACCACAACAGGAAACAAUACAACUUCCACAGAAUCUACCACAGCUGCCAUCAUUAUUUCCACAGAACCCAACAAAAUAGCAACCACCACUACUCCCAUUUAUCCCUUCACCACAGCAACCACCAUCACUUCUACAGAACACACUAUUACAACUACCAGUAUACAAUCCAUAGAAUUGCUUACCACAGCAACCAUCACUACUACUACUACAGAACACACAACCACUACUUCUUCUAGAGAACCAACCACCACAGCAAUCACAAGUUCAACUGA